CUCUCUCCUCCUCCCUCUCUGUCUUCCCAUUUUAGCAAAACCCUAGCUCUCUUUAGCCGCGGACAGAUUUGCCUGUCCAUUUCUACACUAAAAUCGUCACUACAUCUGUUCUCCCGUGUUGUUCUGCGUUGAAAAAGAAAAGGGUUUCCCAUUUUUUGCUUCAAAACACCUGAAAGAUCAGGGUGGUGGAACCAUUUCGGGUAAUACUCAAGUCAAACCACGUGAGGAUCUGCUCGAAAACCCCUUCAACAUUCAAAUUCAGCACGGGUCUUUGACUCGAUUUUGAAUUCAUAAACCGCCCAAUUUCGAACCCUAGACGCUUCUUUCCUAUAAAUAAUCGCUCUUUCAGUCAGUUGAGGGAGGUUUUUUUUUUUUUCAGCCCCCCUAAAAAUAUAUCAAUUUGUAGUAGUCAUAUAUUUUGGUGAUUGAUAAGAAAUAUACUAAAUCAUUUCUGUCCGUUUUUCGCUCUGGGUUCUGUUUCGGAUCUAUACAAAUUCGGAGUGUGGUGUUCGAGCGGAUAUCGAGAUCUUCGCCUCACUUCGCUGCACCAUUAAAAGGAAUACAUAAUUGAUCAAUCUGAAAGAAUCAUUGGUCAUGGGAGAUGAGAAUGAGAGUAUGCUCCGGAAGCUGGAGAAGAAAUCCAAGAAAAGCAAUAAGAAGGCUGCCACCACUGGUCCUGGAGUGACUGCAAACAAUGUUAAAGCUGAAGAAUGUGAUUUUAGCUUCAAUGAAGAGAAGCUAGCUGUUCUGGAAACCAAGAAAGAAAAGGAUAAGGAAGUGAUGGAAACUAAGGCAGCAGGAGAGAGUGAAGAGUGUGACAUUAAGAGAAAGAAAAAAAGAGAAGGUGGAAAAAGUCCUGGAAAGUCCAAAAAAGGCAGUGAUGAAGAUGCUGUGAAAUGUGUUGAAAAAAAGAAAAAGAAUAAGCUGAAGAAAAGCUGCUUGGAUGAGCCUUCAGACACCAAAACUAGCACUUCUGCAAGUGCAAGUGAAACGCGGAACAGUGAUAAGGUGGUUGAGACCCUUGGCGAGGUCUCUGGUGGAAAUGCUGUGGACGAGAUUAGGAGGAAGAAAUCCAAGAAAGACAUUAAGACUGCUGCUACCAAUGGUCUUGGAGUGACAAACACUGAUGAUAAAGCUAAGAGCGAUGAUUGUGACAGCAAGAGAAAGAAAGAAAGAAAACAUGGAAAACAUUCUGGGAAGUCCAGUGGAGACGGCAAUGAGGUUGCUUUGGAAAUUGUUGAAGGGAAGAAAAGUAGGAAGUUGAAGAAAAGCUGCGCGGAUGAGCAGGAGACAAAUAUUGAGGAUGGAUAUGAAGAUGUUGUGGCUGAAGUCAAUCAAGGUGAUAUUCAUUCAACUGUGGAAGAGAUAGAAGAACGAAGCAGAACAGACAAUGGUAAUAUCAGAAAGAGAAAAAAGGUAAAAGUAGGACACAAUUCUGAAGAUUCUACACAUGAGAAGAGUGAAAAGAGAGUGAGAUUCUCUGGUCAGGAUCAGAUUUUCCCUUCAUCCAGUGACCCUUGUGAUGAUGAGAACCAUGAAAUCGAGGAAGACAAUUUAUUGCGCGGGAAACGAUUCUCAAAAUUAGAAGAUGAAAUUGUCAAAGAGGCUGUUCAUAAAUACAUAGAGAUACAUAACUUGGGCGAAGAAGAAGGGCUGAAAAAGAUUUUGAAUUCUAGAUCUUAUCCUGAAUUAAAGGGCUGCUGGAAAGAAAUAGGGAGCUGUAUACCCUACAGGCCUUAUACUGCGGUUUAUUAUCGUGCACAGGUCUUGUUUCGAAGGAGUGAGACACGUAAAUGGACUGAAGAAGAGUAUGAGAUAGUACGAAAAUUCCAGAAAGAGCACGGGAACAAUUGGAAGGUCUUAGCUGAUGAACUUGGAAAACAUCGGUUUCAUGUGAAGGAUACAUGGCGAAGGCUGAAACUGCCCAAUCAGAAGAAAGGACAAUGGACUCAGGAGGAGUACCAGACAUUGUUUGAUUUAGUAAACACUGAUCUGAGAUUGAAGCUUUCUGAAGAGAAGAAAUCUAAGUAUGGUAUGUUACGGGAUAAUAUUGCAUGGAGUGCAAUAAGUGACAAAUUGUCCACGAGAACUGAUGCAAAUUGCUGCUUGAAAUGGUAUGAUCAAUUGACAUCACCUAUGGUGGCCAAAGGUGAAUGGGCAGAUGUUGAUGACUAUCGCCUAGUUGAUGCACUUUUUGAGCUGGAUGCGAGCUGCAUAGAAGAUGUUGACUGGGACAAUCUUCUUGACCACAGGCCUGGAGAGAUAUGCCGGAAGAGAUGGAACCAAAUGGUACUUCACAUAGGUCAACUUGGAAACAGGUCAUUUGCUGAACAAGUAGAAGUUCUAGCUAAGAGAUACCGUCCAGAUCUGGCCGAAGUAAGAGAGGCUUGGGAUAGUAAACCAGUCGUUCCAUGAUAUGCCCGUCACUCAACAGGGUUGUGUCUGUAGCGAGUUAUUUUACAGCACCACAUACUAUUGGCAUCAGCUCCUCUACCCCCACCCCUCUCCAUUUUAGUAAUUAUUAUAAGAUUUUGUAGAACAUUUAGAAGACAUAAAUUGGAAGAGGUCCAAUACUGUGUGGUGGAAAGAAAAGGGAAAGAUUUUCACAGUUCAAUAUCGGACAGUUUUCUGUACUAAGUAGGGCAAGGGAUCAAUCAACUUCAGCUGCAACUUGAAAAUGAAGAGUUCAACUUCUUGAUGGGUGAAUUAUUGGAAUUCAGUAGUGACAGAAAUGGUCAUCUGUGCUCCACAGCUACUGGUGUCAUCACCCCGCAAAGAGUUUGUGUGUUCCAUUAUCCAUUAUGGUAGCUGAUUAUCCGUCGGUUCUGUUAUUAUGUAGCAUUUUGCUUAAAAGGUUUCAGACUGUGUUGUUGUAAUUAUUGUUCUUGCAUGCGUUCAGCCUUCUUGAUUUUGGUAAGUGUCACCCUUCUGCUUGCUUUGGUUAUCCGCUUAGCUUCUUGGAUAUGCAUGUCUCCUUAUUUGUUGAUUUUCUUAGUUGUUUAUAAAAACUGCAUGUUCUAUGGUUGUUUGAGUUGUUGCUACCUGUGAUAUGUGCCCGUAGAAUUGAAAUUAUAUCGUGAUAUAGCCAUACUAAAUAGUAUUGAUGUUGUAAUUGAGUGAAAAUUUACAUUUCACUAGAUUAAGUCUAUUUCUAACGGCAGCUGAUGGACUUUUAACUACUCAAAAAUGUGAGGUUAUUCCUGAGGAAGAAACAACCCAAUAAAUUACUUUAUAUCAAAUUUACUGCUACGUCUUAUUAAUUAAAAUCAGCUGAAAAUCUCUCGAAUUAAGUAAGUAUGAAGCAUUCUCCGCUAGCUACUAAUCUUUUAUAUUCGAUGUGUUUGUUGAGCUUCUAUUUUGGGACAGUUAAUUUGUCCCUGUCUGAGCUUUUAUUUAGCACUACGGAGGAACUAUAUUGCUUGACUAUCAUAUCCCUAUAUUGUGUAUUGGUUUUGGAUGUUUAUUGAAGAGUAAAAACCGUUUCUUAACCUUUAUGUUUUUCUUUCAGUUUAUGGCAGUUCACGGCCACGAAUUAAGAUUCCUAAAAUUAAACUGAAAAUAAAAACACACUUACUGCUUUGUACUCUUUGAAAUAGGAGAGAAACAAAAACAGGUCUUGGUUGAAAAGUUGGUCAGCAAAUUCAAAGACAGAAGCACGUUGUUCCUAUCAUCUUUCGACAUUUCGGAAAUUUAAGGUCGCAUUUACUUAAAUAAAGGCACGAUUGAUAGGAUUUAACAUGGCCAUUGCUAUAUUUCUCAUCCUAAGUGUAAAAUGUAGAGAAAGACAAUAAAAACUUUACAUUCAUUACCCGUCAAUUGAAAUUGAUCUGGCACCUAUUUUUAGUACCUGCCAAAUGAGAAAAAGAACGCGAUCACCUCCUACUUUGCUUAUCAAAAGGUGAAAAAGAACACAUCCAGAUAAGUAUUAGCUAUUUUAAGCUUUUUGAACAAUGAUGCAUAUUUUCUGUGAGGACUGAGGAGUUUGCUUUCAUCGCUAAGUUCAUGUACUUAACAUAGUUCUGGUGGAUGCGUUAUUGUACAUACAAAAAUAAUUUAUUUGAUGAGAAAGUUCAGAGAAUGUUGGUUGGAGAAUGAAUGUUGGAACUCCUCAGCAAAAGGUAUGAAAAUUUAUUUUGCAGUUUACUCCCUGAUAGUUUACUUUUAACUUAACUAUAAUUGGUGAAUAUAAAUCUGUUUGAGGCUUUACACUUAUAUUAUAUGAAUCAAAAUUCAUAGCAAAACUUCCUAUGAGUUAAUAUUUCUGAGAGCUGACAUGUUACAUUAAUGAAUGUUUACAUUUGGUUUUAUUAAUAAAUUAGUAAUGAUCCUGUAGGAAUCACAAUACAAAAAGAAAAUGCUGAAAUAUGUACUAUGCUUGCUUCUCUUGGGAGGUGUCUGACCUUAUUGUUUCAAAGUUUUUGUACUAUUUGAACUUUCUUUGUUAAGCUUGCUUCAUAUGAAAUACUUUAUUUGCAAGUUCUGAUCAAAACAUUGAUAUAUCCUCUCAUUUGGCCCUACUCAGCUUUGUAACUUAUUACUGGUGAAGAUUACUCACUUUCUCUCUUUUCUUUGUAUAGUCAUCUUGUGCACACAAAAGCCAUAAUAUUCCCACGGUCCAUGUACGAAAAAUCAUAUGCUUUGGUGGUCAUUGUAGGUUAUAUUUUGCAUUGGCCACUUUUUAGAUGUUCAUUAAAACUUCUCCAUUAAUUUCCACUUUGAUAUCCUUAUGCCAAUUUCAAGGGGAGUUUUCUUAUUUUAACUGCUGAACAUGCAGAGUGGCCUUGUGCCAAGAGGGACUUUUGAGGUGAGUGUUGAGCCAACUGUAGACAUGGAAGUGAGAAUCGUAGCCAGAAGUUUUUUGUCUGAGACUGAAAGACAUAGUGAACGGCAGUGUUAUUCCCGCCAAGAAAUCUGACCUCCUCACUGAUAACAAACUAUGGAAGACUUUGAUCCAUGUGGCUAAAGACAAACAUGGCCAAUUACAGGCUUCUGUGCCAGCUCCUGCUUUGAACAUGCACGGAAGAAUUGCAAUAGUUCCCAUUUCUAAAAAUGCUUUUGGGAUUCCUUGUUUUAUGUUCAUUGUUUGGCUUACUCCACAGUUCAAUUCAGUACCUUUGAUAUCCAAUGCAGUGAAAACACUACCGAUGGUGUUGAUAUGUUUAUAUGUAGCAGUUGGACAAGAUUCCCUAUCUAUGGAGCUGAUUUUGGUUGUAAAGGCCAUUUUGGGUUGAGCUCUGUUGGGAGGCAGAACAUCUGCAAUUUUCCUUUGUGUGGUAAAUCAUAUAAAAAUUCAAAAUUGUUUAACCUGGAUGAAAUGUAAAUAUAGAGCAUGCAUUUGGUGUUUAGAUUUUAGUGUUGGGCCCGUGCACAGCACGGGCAUUGCCAUCUAGUCUUGAAAUAUCACGGGGCUAUUAAAUCUUCUAUCACAAAAUCAUUCAGGACACUUGAACACCAAAAGCUCCUGCUCUAUGCUGGGGUAGAGACUAGUGGUGUUCGCUUCAAUUAGUUGUCAAAAUACAGAUUAUGAGUACUUUUAGUGUUUCGCAGGAUUAGAAAGAUUAAGACCCAAUUGACUGGUAGUUGGGGGGCGCUAUUGUCAUGCUGAUGAUGCUCAGAGAAAUUAUGAGUGGGCAGAUAUUGUAGCUUGGCAUCUUUUUGGUAAUAAGCUAGAGAACAGUAGUUACAGAGAUGCUUUCAAUUAUGUAUGCUAGUGAUGGGUGGUUGAUUUUGGUAAGUAAGUUAGAGAGUAGAUUCUGGAUGGACAAAGUUGAAGCUGGAUAACUAGUAAAAAGCAUUCAUUUGAAAGGAAUUCUUGAGGUGUUCUCUGCGACAUCUUUCAUGAGUUCACUUUGUUGAAUCUAGGUCAGAAGCUGCGAGAGGAGGUAGGAUUAAUCUAAUUUCCUUGUCAUGAAAGUUAUUUUUAUCAUGUAAGUCCAUAACAAAUGGAAAAGAAGAUGAGUUUGACCAUUCUGCACUCAACUUUAUGAUUCUAACAGUGAUGGAAGGUUCAUCUCC